rnacentral:rRNA from 1 species
GUGCCAGUAGCCGCGAUAAUACGGAGGGUGCAAGCGUUGUCCGGAUUUAUUGGGUUUAAAGGGUGCGUAGGCGGCCCGUUAAGUCAGCGGUGAAAUCCCGGGGCUCAACCCCGGAACUGCCGUUGAUACUGGCGGGCUUGAGUUCGGUCGAGGCGGGCGGAACUGGCGGUGUAGCGGUGAAAUGCUUAGAUACCGCCAAGAACCCCGAUUGCGUAGGCAGCUCGCUGGGCCGAAACUGACGUUGAGGCACGAAAGCGUGGGGAGCGAACAGGAUUAGAAACCCUGGUAGUCC